rnacentral:rRNA from 1 species
AUUCCUACGGGAGGCAGCAGUGAGGAAUAUUGGUCAAUGGAGGCAACUCUGAACCAGCCACGUCGCGUGAAGGAUGACGGCCCUACGGGUUGUAAACUUCUUUUGUAAGGGAAUAAAGUUUAGUACGUGUACUAUUUUGCAUGUACCUUACGAAUAAGGAUCGGCUAACUCCGUGCCAGCAGCCGCGGUAAUAAU